rnacentral:misc_RNA from 1 species
UGGCAGCUACUAGUUGAAGGAGUGGAGGAAUACAGUGACCAGUUUUCCUUUGUGCCAUGGCAUUAUCCUUCCACCUAUAAACUGAUAGAAGAACAAUCAUAUAGGCUACGAAGUGUUUUUGCCAAGAGCAGUAAAGAUGGAGAGAUUAACAGGAGAGGUCCUUGAUUUUGAACUUGCAGAUAAGCAGAAAUCAAUCAUGCCAAAUAGUAACGUUGAAGGUGGGAGCGGGG